GACGUAGGUGGCGAACGUUAUCCGGAAUUAUUGGGCGUAAAGGAUGCGUAGAUGGUGUAGUAAGUUAUCGGUGGCAAAUCGAGGCUCAACCUCGUGGAAGUCGGUAAUACUGCUAUGCUAGAGGAUAGGAGAGGUUAACGGAACUCCCUGUGGAGCGGUGAAAUGCGCAGAUAUCAGGAGGAACACCGGUGGCGAAGGCGGGUCUCUGGGCCGAUACUGACGCUGAGGAGCGAAAGCGUGGGGAGCGAACAGG
rnacentral:rRNA from 1 species